GCACUUCUUCCCCACAGCGGUUAACCGCUCCCCCACCCCCUCUCUCUCUCUUCGAAACCCUAGCUCGCUUGAUCUUCCCUUUCCCUUGCGUUUCCACCGGCCGGCCGGAGAUGCCGCCUCGUGCCGUGAAGAAGGCAGCCGCCAAGAGGCGGGCGAAGACCGCGGCGGUCUCGAAUCCAUCGCCGAGCGUCGUGGAGGACGAGGUGGUUCCGAUGGCGGAGGCAUCGCCUCCCCCCGCCGAGAAUAAUCCGGUGGCGGAUUCUGCUCCGGUCCUCACCGUAAAGAAGGAGGCGGUCGUGGAGGAAUUUAUCUCUUCACCGGCCGCCGUAGAGGCCCCGCUUCCCUCCGCCAAGAAGUAUACAGAGGGGGAUUCUGCUCCGGUCCUCACUGUAAAGGAGGAGGCGGUGGUGGAGGAAUUUGUCGCUCCACCAGCCGCCGUAGAAGAGGGGAAAGCCCCAAAAUUGGGGGCUCAGGAUGAAGCAGAUGCGACGAAUGCCCCAGAAGAAGCAGUGAUGGAGGAGAUUGAGGAGGUGGAGGCUGCAGAAGGAACUGUUGAGAAGGUCGAGGUAGAAGUACCUGUAGAGAAGGUUGUUGAAGAAGCGAUCUUGGGGAAUGUUCAGGAUUUUCCAGGCAAUCAAGCGGACGCUGAAGAACCUUUGAAGGUUCCCGGAGUUUCGGCUGAGGCUAAGGAACCUGAUGAUGGAGACAACCAGAUGGAUGUAGAGGAAGUAGUUGAAGUCGAAGCUGUGGAAAGUGAGGUUGAAGGUGCUGAUGAAGAAGGGGAUGUUGGUGCUGGUGAAGAUGAAGAUGCUGAUGGGUUAAAUGAUGCUGAUAACAGUGAAAGCUAUGAUGAUGGAGAAGAUAAUGAAGAAGUUGAGGAAGAAGAUCCCUCUUUAUAUAUGCAGGCAGAUAAUGAAGAAAUUGAAGAAGAAGAAGAAGAAGAUCCCUCUUUAUAUAUGCAGGCCACUAUGACAGAGAGAAAAAAGCAGAAGGAAUUUGAGAUAUUUAUUGGUGGGUUAAAUAAAGAAGCUGUUGAGGAGGAUUUAAUACAAGUCUUUGGUGUGUUUGGGGAGAUUCAGUCUGUUAGGAUAGUUAGAAAUCCAUCAACACAGAAAAGUAAGGGGUUUGCAUUUAUUCGUUACGCUAGUGUUGAGCAUGCAAAGAAGGCUCUUGCUGAGCUAAAAGAUGGGACAGAGGUGAGAGGGAAACAGGUUGGAAUAUCAGCUAGUCAAUAUAAUGACACCCUUUACCUGGGAAACAUCUGCAAGACUUGGACAAAAGAUCAAGUGCUAGAGACAUUAAAAGGCUAUGGAAUUGAACAAGUAGAGCACAUACUCUUGCCUGAUGAUCCCAAUAAUGAAGGGAAAAUCAAGGGCUUUGCUUUCCUUGAAUUCAAUUCUCAUUCUGAUGCGAUGGCAGCAUUUCAGCGGUUAAAAAAACCAGAUGCUGUAUUUGGCUGUGAUAGGAGUGCUAAAGUAGCUUUUGCACAAACUCCAAUGCAUCCAGCUGAGGAAGUUCUGUUACAGGUUAAAACUGUAUUUGUUGAAAGUAUUCCGGUCUCUUGGGAUGAAGAAAAAAUCAAAGAACUUUGCAAACAAUAUGGUGAAGUAGAGAAAGUACAACUAUUUCGGAAGUUCACAACAAGUAAAAAGAAAGAUUUUGGGUUUGUUGAAUUUACUUCUCGAGAAAGUGCUGUAGCUUGUGUGGAAGGAAUAAACAGUGCUCAACUUGGGGAAGGUGAGGUCAAGGUCAAAGCUAAUCUUGCGAAGCCUUUGAAUAAGAGAAGGCUUGCUAAGCAGCGUGCUCGAGGUGGAUUUAAGGUUAAGAAAAAUGAAGAAGUUACUGAAGAGGCUGGUCAGUCCAAGAAGAAAAAACAUUCCAAGUCAAAAGAGGUUCUUAUCAAAGGAAAAGCUCAACACAAAUUAAAAAAUGUUGAAGGGAGCAAGUCAUCUAAGUUCCAAGGCAAGGUUGCAAAGGGUAAACAUGGUCCUCGAAUAAGGCCUGCUAAAGGUAAAAGACGUGGUGGGAGGGGCAUGGACAGUGCCAUUAAUGAGAGGCCAUCAAAGAAGUCACGUAAAAAUCGCAACUUUGGUAACUUGCAUGGUAGACCUUCUGAAGGAUUUGGCAACCAAAGGUACAGUUACUUAGGGCAACCAAAAGUAAACCAUGCCGUGCAACCUACCACCUAUGCUCCAAGAUAUGCACAAGCUGCAACUAGCUACCAGGCUUACACUUAUGCUGAACCUUCUGGUUCUAAAGUUCGUCAAUCUGAUCUGGAACCUCAUGCUGGAUUUAUUCCUGCGGCAAAACCUGUUCAUUAUAGUUAUGGAUAUGAGCAAAGAAGAGCUGGUGCUUAUGAUAACCAAGCAAGGAGUGGUUCUGACUUUGCUGGAGUAUAAAAUUCCUGUUAUGUUCGUCAAAUUGGUGACCUGCAAACUUGGGGGAUAGCUGCACCAGUUACUCAAACAUCCUAUCCUGGGUACUCAAGCUAUGCUGGCUAUGAGGCUGGUUAUGCUUAUCCUGGCAACGGGGCAUAUGGCAGCAGCGCAUAUGGCAGAAGUGCAUAUGCACCUCACAGGACAUAUUACUGAGGUGCAUCUAAAGCUUGCAGUUGCUGGUUAUGAUGUGUGAGAUGGUGGCUGGUUAAGACACCAGAUGUUUCAUUUAUUCUCCCCAAUUUUUUACAGAGGCACUGCCUAUGGUAUAUAUGGUACUAGAGAGAUGGGACAUUGGGUGACUCGAUCUAAUAGUUUAUAUUCGCACCCAAACUCAGAAGUGGCGAAAAUUAUUACAUGCGUGUCCUAUAACUUGCCACAUGAUCUGUAAUACUGGUCUCUCAAAGUCAUUCUAAAAGAUGGAAAUUAGCUCCUUUGCCUUUCACAUGCCAUCA